rnacentral:rRNA from 1 species
UCGACGGCAGCACGGGUGCUUGCACCUGGUGGCGAGUGGCGAACGGGUGAGUAAUGCGUCGGAACGUACCGAGUAAUGGGGGAUAACGCAGCGAAAGUUGUGCUAAUACCGCAUACGCCCUGAGGGGGAAAGUGGGGGACCGCAAGGCCUCACGUUAUUCGAGCGGCCGACGUCUGAUUAGCUAGUUGGUGGGGUAAAGGCCUACCAAGGCGACGAUCAGUAGCGGGUCUGAGAGGAUGAUCCGCCACACUGGGACUGAGACACGGCCCAGACUCCUACGGGAGGCAGCAGUGGGGAAUUUUGGACAAUGGGGGCAACCCUGAUCCAGCCAUUCCGCGUGAGUGAAGAAGGCCUUCGGGUUGUAAAGCUCUUUCAGCUGGAACGAAACGGUACGCGCUAACAUCGUGUGCUAAUGACGGUACCGGCAGAAGAAGCACCGGCUAACUACGUGCCAGCAGCCGCGGUAAUACGUAGGGUGCGAGCGUUAAUCGGAAUUACUGGGCGUAAAGCGUGCGCAGGCGGAUUGUUAAGCAAGACGUGAAAUCCCCGGGCUUAACCUGGGAAUGGCGUUUUGAACUGGCAGUCUAGAGUGCGUCAGAGGGGGGUGGAAUUCCACGUGUAGCAGUGAAAUGCGUAGAGAUGUGGAGGAACACCGAUGGCGAAGGCAGCCCCCUGGGAUGACACUGACGCUCAUGUACGAAAGCGUGGGUAGCAAACAGGAUUAGAUACCCUGGUAGUCCACGCCCUAAACGAUGUCAACUGGUUGUUGGGGGAGUGAAAUCCCUUAGUAACGAAGCUAACGCGUGAA